UACGAAGGGGGCUAGCGUUGCUCGGAAUCACUGGGCGUAAAGCGCACGUAGGCGGAUUGUUAAGUCAGGGGUGAAAUCCUGGAGCUCAACUCCAGAACUGCCUUUGAUACUGAAGAUCUUGAGUUCGGGAGAGGUGAGUGGAACUGCGAGUGUAGAGGUGAAAUUCGUAGAUAUUCGGAAGAACACCAGUGGCGAAGGCGGCUGACUGGACAUGUAUUGACGCUGAGGUGCGAAGCGUGGGAGCAAACAGG
rnacentral:rRNA from 1 species